UUUUCAUGGUUUUCAGAUCUGCCUCUCUUCUCUUUUAGAUCUGCAGAUCGGCCUUUAUUUUUUUGGUUUUCGUUGCCUUCUCCUGUGCAUUAAGUGGCCGGUGGAGCUGUUGCAUGUUCUUUCCUUCUUCUUCGAGCGGCAGCUCUGGCGGCUGAGGAAGGAGUGUUGGAGGCCAGAGCUGCCACGGGAAAGCUUCAGUGCUGAUGGAGAU
rnacentral:lncRNA from 1 species